UGGCCGACAUUGUACCUGACAGAUUGGGUCGUUUAUAGAAAAAGCAAUUUGCUAUAUUGAAAGAGAAAGAUUAAUAAAAGUGUUAUUAUUGUUCAUAUUAAUGUGACUGGAGUUAAUGAUAAACGUCAACUAAUGCAUGGCAGUGUUGAUAUUUAUGAAGAAAACGAUUCCUGGAAAUACGAAUGUCAAACGCUUGAAAAUUUUGACCACCGUUAAGAAUAACGUUUAGAACCCGUGUCACUUACAAAAUUUAAUAUUGUUGGUGAGCAGUAAAAGGGGAUAAAGUGGAUUUAUGCUUGUGUGAUGACUGUAGCCAUGUGAACGGGUUAUCGUACGGCAAAACCCAUCACGUAAAGAAGAGUCUUCAACUUUUCAAGAAAGGAAUGCCUUGUUUUGCUAUCAACACAAAGCUCGGAACAGGAAGCAAUGAUCAACAACAUUGGUGGUCCAGGAAUGGUUAAUUACUUUUUGUCAACACUGUAUGUUCCAAUGAUCAAUUGAACUUAAAGAAAAUGGAAAUACAUGCGGGAAGGACCAUUCAUCAAGUUUCAAUUAUCUCCUUUAUAGCAGACAGGCUUAUAAGAUGGAAACGAAGAGGAAAAUGAAACCAGACAGAUUAUGGACUCAAAUUCAACCCAGAAAAAAAGCUAGGAACUUGCAGUCACUGAGUGUUCUUGUUUACAGUCAUGUGUUCAAUGAUGCAACAACAUAAAUAUUAUAGCUGGC